UACGUAGGGUGCGAGCGUUAAUCGGAAUUACUGGGCGUAAAGCGUGCGCAGGCGGUUUGUUAAGUCUGCUGUGAAAUCCCCGAGCUCAACUUGGGAAUUGCAGUGGAUACUGGCAAGCUAGAGUAUGGUAGAGGAAGGUGGAAUUCCCGGUGUAGCAGUGAAAUGCGUAGAGAUCGGGAGGAACACCAGUGGCGAAGGCGGUCUUCUGGACCAAUACUGACGCUCAUGCACGAAAGCGUGGGGAGCAAACAGG
rnacentral:rRNA from 1 species